rnacentral:rRNA from 2 species
UGGGGAAUAUUGCACAAUGGGGGAAACCCUGAUGCAGCAACGCCGCGUGAAGGAAGAAGGUUUUCGGAUCGUAAACUUCUAUCAACAGGGACGAAGAAAGUGACGGUACCUGAAUAAGAAGCCCCGGCUAACUACGUGCCAGCAGCCGCGGUAAUACGUAGGGGGCAAGCGUUAUCCGGAAUUACUGGGUGUAAAGGGAGCGUAGGCGGCACGCCAAGCCAGAUGUGAAAGCCCGAGGCUUAACCUCGCGGAUUGCAUUUGGAACUGGCGAGCUAGAGUACAGGAGAGGAAAGCGGAAUUCCUAGUGUAGCGGUGAAAUGCGUAGAUAUUAGGAAGAACACCAGUGGCGAAGGCGGCUUUCUGGACUGAAACUGACGCUGAGGCUCGAAAGCGUGGGGAGCAAACAGG